UCCCCGGUGGUCCAGUUGCUGGACUCUAUGCUUCCAAAGCAGGGGGCCCGGGUUCAACCCCUGGUCAGGGAA
rnacentral:tRNA from 1 species